rnacentral:rRNA from 1 species
UACGUAGGGUGCGAGCGUUGUCCGGAAUUAUUGGGCGUAAAGGGCUCGUAGGCGGUUUGUCGCGUCGGGAGUGAAAACCUCGGGCUUAACUCGGGGCUUGCUUUCGAUACGGGCAGACUGGAGGUAUGCAGGGGAGAACGGAAUUCCUGGUGUAGCGGUGAAAUGCGCAGAUAUCAGGAGGAACACCAACGGCGAAGGCAGCUCGCUGGGACGGUACUGACACUGAGGCGCGAAAGCGUGGGGAGCGAACAGG